rnacentral:rRNA from 1 species
CGUGAGCGAAUGAAGGUCUUCGGAUCUGGUAAAGCUGCUGUUGUCAGGGAAGAACAAGUGCCGUUCGAACAGGGCGGUACCUUGACGGUACCUGACGAGGAAGCCACGGCUAACUACGUGCCAGCAGCCGCGGUAAUACGUAGGUGGCAAGCGUUGUCCGGAAUUAUUGGGCGUAAAGCGCGCGCAGGCGGUUCCUUAAGUCUGAUGUGAAAUCUCGCGGCUCAACCGCGAGCGGCCAUUGGAAACUGGGGAACUUGAGUGCAGGAAAGGGGAGCGGAAUUCCACGUGUAGCGGUGAAAUGCGUAAAGAUGUGGAGGAACACCAGUGGCGAAGGCGGCUCUCUGGCCUGUAACUGACGCUGAGGCGCGAAAGCGUGGGGAGCGAACAGGAUUAGAUACCCUGGUAGUCCACGCCGUAAACGAUGAGUGCUAAGUGUUAGAGGGUAUCCACCCUUUAGUGCUGCAGCAAACGCAUUAAGCACUCCGCCUGGGGAGUACGGCCGCAAGGCUGAAACUC